rnacentral:rRNA from 1 species
AACGAACGCUGGCGGCAGGCUUAACACAUGCAAGUCGAACGGUUGUAGCAAUACAGCAGUGACGCACGGGUGAGUAACGCGUAGAUAUCUGCCUUUUGGUUCGGAAUAACUCCGGGAAACUGGAGCUAAUACCGGAUGGUUCCUACGGGAUAAAGAUUUAUCGCCAAAAGAUGAGUCCGCGUACGAUUAGCUAGUUGGUGGGGUAAUGGCCCACCAAGGCGACGAUCGUUAGCUGGUCUGAGAGGACGAUCAGCCACACUGGGACUGAGACACGGCCCAGACUCCUACGGGAGGCAGCAGUGGGGAAUAUUGGACAAUGGGGGCAACCCUGAUCCAGCCAUGCCGCGUGAGUGAUGAAGGCCUUCGGGUUGUAAAGCUCUUUUGGCGGGGACGAUGAUGACGGUACCCGCAGAAUAAGCCCCGGCUAACUUCGUGCCAGCCGCCGCAGUAA